rnacentral:rRNA from 1 species
UGGGGAAUAUUGCACAAUGGGGGAAACCCUGAUGCAGCAACGCCGCGUGAGGGAAGAAGGUCUUCGGAUUGUAAACCUCUGUCUUCGGCGACGAUUAUGACGGUAGCCGAGGAGGAAGCUCCGGCUAACUACGUGCCAGCAGCCGCGGUAAUACGUAGGGAGCGAGCGUUGUCCGGAUUUACUGGGUGUAAAGGGUGCGUAGGCGGGACGUCAAGUCAGGCGUGAAAUCUAUCGGCUUAACCGGUAAACUGCGCUUGAAACUGUCGUUCUUGAGUGAAGUAGAGGCAGGCGGAAUUCCGAGUGUAGCGGUGAAAUGCGUAGAUAUUCGGAGGAACACCAGUGGCGAAGGCGGCCUGCUGGGCUUUUACUGACGCUGAGGCACGAAAGCGUGGGGAGCAAA